UGCCCUUUAGCUCAGUGGUAGAGCAUUCCCUUGAUAAGGGAGUGGCCGCUUGUUCGAUCCAAGCAAGGGCAACCA
rnacentral:tRNA from 1 species